rnacentral:rRNA from 1 species
UGCAAGUCGAGCGAAUGGAUUAAGAGCUUGCUCUUAUGAAGUUAGCGGCGGAGGGUGAGUAACACGUGGGUAACCUGCCCAUAAGACUGGGAUAACUCCGGGAAACCGGGGCUAAUACCGGAUAACAUUUUGCACCGCAUGGUGCGAAAUUCAAAGGCGGCUUCGGCUGUCACUUAUGGAUGGACCCGCGUCGCAUUAGCUAGUUGGUGAGGUAACGGCUCACCAAGGCAACGAUGCGUAGCCGACCUGAGAGGGUGAUCGGCCACACUGGGACUGAGACACGGCCCAGACUCCUACGGGAGGCAGCAGUAGGGAAUCUUCCGCAAUGGACGAAAGUCUGACGGAGCAACGCCGCGUGAGUGAUGAAGGCUUUCGGGUCGUAAAACUCUGUUGUUAGGGAAGAACAAGUGCUAGUUGAAUAAGCUGGCACCUUGACGGUACCUAACCAGAAAGCCACGGCUAACUACGUGCCAGCAGCCGCGGUAAUACGUAGGUGGCAAGCGUUAUCCGGAAUUAUUGGGCGUAAAGCGCGCGCAGGUGGUUUCUUAAGUCUGAUGUGAAAGCCCACGGCUCAACCGUGGAGGGUCAUUGGAAACUGGGAGACUUGAGUGCAGAAGAGGAAAGUGGAAUUCCAUGUGUAGCGGUGAAAUGCGUAGAGAUAUGGAGGAACACCAGUGGCGAAGGCGACUUUCUGGUCUG